CCCGUGUUUCACUCUUCCGAGCCUUCUUUGUGCUUCGACCCCACCCUAAAGCCCGAGGGUGGUGGCUCUUCAACCUCCGGAAGGGUCUCGCUUUCAUAACUGGUCUUCCAUCGUCCAUUCAUGGAUGGAAGAACCAGUUUUUCUUUGUUUCCUCCUCUUCUUCUUAGGGCUUUCCUUCUCGUUGGGGUAUACCCCGAACCGAGGCCAACGACAACAGUCGGGUGGAUGCGGACGACCGGGAGGACUUCCACCGACUGAAGGACAUGUCGGUACCGAAGCAGAGGGAGCUUGUUACCGAACAAGCUCUCUAUGAUGCCGGCUUGAGUCUGGUCCCCCGAAUAGGUAUCGCCCGAUCCUCCGGCUUUCCUUUUUGUUCAUCUUUUGGUCGGCUUUUGGUCCAGCCUUUAAUGUUCUUGUCGGUAUUGCAGGGACACCACCGAGGAUGAGGCCGACGGAUGCCGAGAUUCGGCAGUUCGCCAA
rnacentral:lncRNA from 1 species